GUAAAUACCUGGCCUCAUCAGUGUAAAUUUCCAUCUGUUUCAGUGCUCAUGUGCAGUCAGUUGUUCACUAGAUUUCAGUAGCCAAGGGCUGUUCAGUUUGUGCUCCGGAGCCUCGUCCGCACUCUGCUCUUUGUUUAAACCAACCGUGUCUGAAAUCUAUAUUUCACGUUUUUAUCACAUUUACCGUUGUAGAUAUAUGCCGGAAAUGAUACGUAUUUCAUUUCUGUAUGUAACACAAUGUUUGUGUUCAAAAUAUUAAUGUUUUACAAAUGAAAACGGUACUUUGCUAUUUCGUAUAAUUCACAGCGGACGUUCUGCCAUCAUCUAGGCUGCUCGUCGCCUCACCGUAGCACCAAGCGUUUCAUCCGAAACUCAGGGUUACAAUGCAGCCAGUUGCACGGGGGAUUUUUCAUCCUGAUUAUUGCUACGUGUAAAUACUUAGUGCUGCUCAGAAAUGUAACGGUGGGCGAAUUACAGCUGGGAUUCCUUCGACCUCCAGAGAAGUGUCCUUAAUCAGUAGGUUUCGUGAAACGGAAGGCUCGAACCGAGAGCCUGAGAACGAAGGAGGAGCGAUCUGGCCGUGAUUGAUCGGGCUCAUGCUGAGCUCAGUAUCCUCUAGCGUCCGUGCUUCCCUCGGCGAUGUGGCCCAAGCUCACACCCUUUGCUCUCGCUGCCUUCGCCCGCUCGACCGAACUGAUACGUUAAUGACUCGUUCAGGAUUGGACGACAUGGGAGGAAGGAAAACACCUUGUCCACCUGGACAGAGAGCAGCGUGUCUGCCUUCGACUACUAUAACAGAGAUGUCCUGUGCUGCGCCGGGAACUCCCUGGGACAGGAGUGCUCCAAGCUCCAUGCAUACGCCUUGCAGCGAGAAGCGAGCGACCAGGAAGCAACUCUAGUAAGACGGAUUGUCGGAGAGUCCCUGCUGCUGCAGUGCCAACACACACAGGCCCUUUUACAUUGGCAGAACGACACUGCAGCUCCCAAGGUAGCAUCCGUGCAACACCGCCCAAGUCCUCUUUCAUUCUACAUCCGUCUCUCUGUGACUCCAUCUCUAUUUUCUCUCACUUCCCUGUGACCGGCCCUGCAGGCGGUGUUUCACAGCGACCGAAUUUAUGGACUCAGCUUCAACUACCUGUUUGUUGAGUCUGUGACCAUGGACCACAGUGGAAACUACACCUGUGCGUCACCAAGUGAUGGCAAAAAUAAGUCUACUCGCAUCCAGGUCCUCGGUAGGUGAACAGAGCCCAUCACCUUGAGCAGCGUUGGCGGAUGAACCAGGCAGCGGCUGAGAAAUGGAUAUUAUUAGAGGGGCGAAUCCAGAAAGGACCUUCUUAUAUCGUAGGGGAAAGUACAUUGCGGAAAUGAUACCAGUGUGUCAAUAAGUACUCAGUAAGUAAUAAAGUACUCAGAUGUAAGUGUACA
rnacentral:lncRNA from 1 species